rnacentral:lncRNA from 1 species
GGCUAUGUCUGGCUUUUGUGGAAAGCAGAUUCAACAUAUCGAAGGGAAAUGAAAACGCAGACGGCAGCUUCCAGAUCAACAGCCAUUACUGGUGCAAUGAUGACAGGAGUCACUCAGAAAACAUUUGCCACGAGGACUGUCAAGGUCUGGCCAGGGCUCCAGGGUGGGGAAGCUCUACUCACAAGACUUCUAUUCCUAUGCAAGGCCUGGGAAUGUCCCCAGAGGGACUGCCCAUGGAGUCCAGGAAUGUUUUUGCUGAGCAGAGGACUUGACAAGUGGCUGUAGUGCCCAUCCACUUAGCAUAUUCUUUGGUGUACGGGUUCUAGAAAAGCUCUGCAUAGUUAAUAGCAGAGCAGGAGCAACAGCAGCAGCCAACAUUUCUUGAGAGUGUGUUAUAUACUAACCAUUUUACCUGCAGAGCCCAUUUUACCCAGUGUUUCAUGUGAUGGAAACUAUUAUGCCCACUUUUCAGAUGAGCAAACUGAGACUCAUAGAACCAGUGCCGAAUUCCAGGCUGGUGGCCCUGAAGGCUCCACUCUAACCAUCAAGUAAAAACUUUGGCCAAUGUCUGAUUAAAGGCCAAGUGCAAACUGCCCACCUCAGAGCCGCUCCAGGAGGCUCCAUAGGUCCAUGACUUGGACCUUCUCUCCUCUUUCAUACUCUGAUUCAUAUCCCGAGACUCUUCAUCUGAAGAGCCUCCCUGAUCAGGCAAGAUAUACCUUGGUCUCUAUGCUGCCUGUUUUGACAUCUCCUUUCCCUAGAAACCCUCAAACGUGGCAUGAACUACCAUCUACCCUGACUAGGAAGUAUGGGGGUAAACAGUUGUCCUGUGCCUCCUGCCAGAACCCAGGCCACUCCCUAUCCCCAUUGUGGGGAUGUCUAAAUAGGCCUCUGGGAGGGAGGCUUUGCCUAAUCUGGAAAUACUCAGCCCCUGGGGGGUACAUGCCAGCGCAGGGACAAGCCAAGGAGAGAGAGCUUGCCUCAGUCUUAGUCCUCUGUUCUCACAGGUGUGCUCGCUCUCUCUCUCUCUCUCUCUCUCUCUCUCUCCCUUCCAGAUGUACUGAGCCUCAAUCUUCUCUCAGCCAUCAGCUGUGCAAAAAAAAGAUUGUCUCUGGAGCAGGGGGUAUGAAGAACUGGGUAGCAUGGAGGUUGCACUGUGCAGGCCGGCCACUCUCCUACUGGAUGACAGGAUGUUUCUCGGGAUGA